rnacentral:rRNA from 1 species
UACGGGGGGGGCUAGCGUUGUUCGGAAUUACUGGGCGUAAAGGGCGCGUAGGCGGUUUGCUAAGUUGGAUGUGAAAACUCUGGGCUUAACCCAGAGCCUGCAUUCAAUACUGACAGGCUAGAGUUCUGGAGGGGAUAGCGGAAUUCCUGGUGUAGCGGUGAAAUGCGUAGAUAUCAGGAGGAACACCGGUGGCGAAGGCGGCUAUCUGGACAGAAACUGACGCUGAGGCGCGAAAGCGUGGGGAGCAAAAGGG